GAUGAACGCUGGCGGCGUGCCUAAUACAUGCAAGUCGAACGCUUCACUUCGGUGAAGAGUGGCGAACGGGUGAGUAAUACAUAAGUAACCUGGCAUCUACAGGGGGAUAACUGAUGGAAACGUCAGCUAAGACCGCAUAGGUGUAGAGAUCGCAUGAACUCUAUAUGAAAAGUGCUCCGGGACUGGUAGAUGACGGACUUAUGGCGCAUUAGCUGGUUGGUAGGGUAAGGGCCUACCAAGGCGACGAGGCGUAGCCGACGUGAGAGGGUGACCGGCCACACGGGGACUGAGACGCGGCACAGACUCCUACGGGAGGCAGCAGUAGGGAAUUUUCGGCAAUGGGGGAAACUCUGACCGAGCAACGCCGCGUGAAGGAAGAAGUAAUUCGUUAUGUAAACUUCUGUCAUAGAGGAAGAACGGUGGAUAUAGGGAAUGAUAUCCAAGUGACGGUACUCUAUAAGAAAGCCACGGCUAACUACGUGCCAUCCGCCGCGGUAA
rnacentral:rRNA from 1 species